rnacentral:rRNA from 1 species
AUGAAGAUUUUAUCAUGGAAUUGCAACGGGCUCGGGAAUGCCCCGGCGGUGCGAGUGUUGUUGGAUGUCCAGCGAGUAUGUAACCCGGAUGUGAUGUUUUUGUCAGAGACUCGCCUCGAUAGCUAUCCGGCAGAGUGCUUGAGGAGGAAACUGAAGAUGGAUCAGAAGUUUGUUUGCCCAAGUGAUGGAAGGAAGGGUGGACUGUUGCUAUUUUGGAAGAUAAACGUGAAGAUUAGUAGGCUUGAUCUUAACCCGAUGUUCAUUGAUGUGAGGAUUGAUCAAGGCAAUAAUAAUUUUUGGAGAUUAACUGAGAUGUAUGGUGAAUUUAGAUGGGAAAAUAAAUAUAAAACAUGGGAUCGCAUGAGAGCUUUGAACCAAAACCAUACAAUGCCAUGGCUGGUGAUUAGGGACCUUAAUGAGAUCUAG